rnacentral:rRNA from 1 species
AGUCGAGCGGACAGAUGGGAGCUUGCUCCCUGAUGUUAGCGGCGGACGGGUGAGUAACACGUGGGUAACCUGCCUGUAAGACUGGGAUAACUCCGGGAAACCGGGGCUAAUACCGGAUGGUUGUUUGAACCGCAUGGUUCAAACAUAAAAGGUGGCUUCGGCUACCACUUACAGAUGGACCCGCGGCGCAUUAGCUAGUUGGUGAGGUAACGGCUCACCAAGGCAACGAUGCGUAGCCGACCUGAGAGGGUGAUCGGCCAAACUGGGACUGAGACACGGCCCAGACUACUACGGGAGGCAGCAGUAGGGAAUCUUCCGCAAUGGACGAAAGUCUGACGGAGCAACGCCGCGUGAGUGAUGAAGGUUUUCGGAUCGUAAAGCUCUGUUGUUAGGGAAGAACAAGUACCGUUCGAAUAGGGCGGUACCUUGACGGUACCUAACCAGAAAGCCACGGCUAACUACGUGCCAGCAGCCGCGGUAAUACGUAGGUGGCAAGCGUUGUCCGGAAUUAUUGGGCGUAAAGGGCUCGCAGGCGGUUUCUUAAGUCUGAUGUGAAAGCCCCCGGCUCAACCGGGGAGGGUCAUUGGAAACUGGGGAACUUGAGUGCAGAAGAGGAGAGUGGAAUUCCACGUGUAGCGGUGAAAUGCGUAGAGAUGUGGAGGAACACCAGUGGCGAAGGCGACUCUCUGGUCUGUAACUGACGCUGAGGAGCGAAAGCGUGGGGAGCGAACAGGAUUAGAUACCCUGGUAGUCCACGCCGUAAACGAUGAGUGCUAAGUGUUAGGGGGUUUCCGCCCCUUAGUGCUGCAGCUAACGCAUUAAGCACUCCGCCUGGGGAGUACGGUCGCAAGACUGAAACUCAAAGGAAUUGACGGGGGCCCGCACAAGCGGUGGAGCAUGUGGUUUAAUUCGAAGCAACGCGAAGAACCUUACCAGGUCUUGACAUCCUCUGACAAUCCUAGAGAUAGGACGUCCCCUUCGGGGGCAGAGUGACAGGUGGUGCAUGGUUGUCGUCAGCUCGUGUCGUGAGAUGUUGGGUUAAGUCCCGCAACGAGCGCAACCCUUGAUCUUAGUUGCCAGCAUUCAGUUGGGCACUCUAAGGUGACUGCCGGUGACAAACCGGAGGAAGGUGGGGAUGACGUCAAAUCAUCAUGCCCCUUAUGACCUGGGCUACACACGUGCUACAAUGGACAGAACAAAGGGCAGCGAAACCGCGAGGUUAAGCCAAUCCCACAAAUCUGUUCUCAGUUCGGAUCGCAGUCUGCAACUCGACUGCGUGAAGCUGGAAUCGCUAGUAAUCGCGGAUCAGCAUGCCGCGGUGAAUACGUUCCCGGGCCUUGUACACACCGCCCGUCACACCACGAGAGUUUGUAACACCCGAAGUCGGUGAGGUAACCUUUUAGGAG